rnacentral:rRNA from 1 species
AUUAAGUUAUUAAGGGCGCACGGUGGAUGCCUUGGCACUAGAAGCCGAUGAAGGACGUUACUAACGACGAUAUGCUUUGGGGAGCUGUAAGUAAGCUUUGAUCCAGAGAUUUCCGAAUGGGGAAACCCAGCACGAGUUAUGUCGUGUUAUCUGCAUGUGAAUACAUAGCAUGCAAGAAGGCAGACCCGGAGAACUGAAACAUCUUAGUACCCGGAGGAAGAGAAAGAAAAAUCGAUUCCCUGAGUAGCGGCGAGCGAAACGGGAAGAGCCCAAACCAAUAAGCUUGCUUAUUGGGGUUGUAGGACACUCUG